rnacentral:rRNA from 1 species
AACGAACGCUGGCGGCAUGCCUAACACAUGCCAGUCGAACGAGACCUUCGGGUCUAGUGGCGCACGGGUGCGUAACGCGUGGGAACCUGCCCUUAGGUUCGGAAUAACUCCCCGAAGGGGGUGCUAAUACCGGUUAAUGUCUUCGGACCAAAGAUUUAUCGCCUUUGGAUGGGCCCGCGUUGGAUUAGCUAGUUGGUAGGGUAAAAGCCUGCCAAGGCGACGUUCCAUAGCUGGUCUGAGAGGAUGACAAUCCACACUGGGACUGAGACACGGCCCAGACUCCUACGGGAGGCAGCAGUGGGGAAUAUUGGACAAUGGGCGAAAGCCUGAUCCAGCAAUGCCGCGUGAGUGAUGAAGGCCUUAGGGUUGUAAAGCUCUUUUACACGGGAUGAUAAUGACAGUACCGGGAGAAUAAGCUCCGGCUAACUCCGUG